CCUACUCCUACGGGAGGCAGCAGUAGGGAAUCUUCCGCAAUGGACGAAAGUCUGACGGAGCAACGCCGCGUGAGUAAUGAAGGUUUUCGGAUCGUAAAGCUCUGUUGUUAGGGAAGAACAAGUGCGAGAGUAACUGCUCGCACCUUGACGGUACCUAACCAGAAAGCCACGGCUAACUACGUGCCAGCAGCCGCGGUAAUAA
rnacentral:rRNA from 1 species